rnacentral:rRNA from 1 species
AGAGUUUGAUCCUGGCUCAGAACGAACGCUGGCGGCGUGCUUAACACAUGCAAGUCGAACGUGAUUAAGAGCUUGCUCUUAUGAAAGUGGCGCACGGGUGAGUAACACGUGGAUAAUCUGCCUGGCGAUUCGGGAUAACACUUCGAAAGGGGUGCUAAUACCGGAUAAGCCCACAGUCCCUUCGGGGGGUGCGGGAAAAGGGGGCCUCUGUAUAUGCUCCUGUCGCUAGAUGAGUCCGCGGCCCAUUAGCUAGUUGGUAGGGUAAUGGCCUACCAAGGCGACGAUGGGUAGCUGGUCUGAGAGGAUGAUCAGCCACACUGGAACUGAGACACGGUCCAGACUCCUACGGGAGGCAGCAGUGGGGAAUUUUGCGCAAUGGGGGAAACCCUGACGCAGCAACGCCGCGUGAGUGAUGAAGGCUUUCGGGUCGUAAAGCUCUGUCAGAAGGGAAGAAAUGUAGGUGGCUAAUAUCCAUUCUACUUGACGGUACCUUCAAAGGAAGCACCGGCUAACUCCGUGCCAGCAGCCGCGGUAAUACGGAGGGUGCGAGCGUUGUUCGGAAUUAUUGGGCGUAAAGCGCGUGUAGGCGGUUUAUUAAGUCUGAUGUGAAAGCCCUGGGCUCAACCUGGGAAGUGCAUUGGAUACUGGUAGACUUGAGUACGGGAGAGGGUAGUGGAAUUCCCGGUGUAGAGGUGAAAUUCGUAGAUAUCGGGAGGAAUACCGGUGGCGAAGGCGACUUUCUGGCUGAGUACUGACGCUGAGGCGCGAAAGCGUGGGAAGCAAACAGGAUUAGAUACCCUGGUAGUCC